rnacentral:rRNA from 1 species
AUACAUGCAAGUCGAGCGGACAGAUGGGAGCUUGCUCCCUGAUGUUAGCGGCGGACGGGUGAGUAACACGUGGGUAACCUGCCUGUAAGACUGGGAUAACUCCGGGAAACCGGGGCUAAUACCGGAUGCUUGAUUGAACCGCAUGGUUCAAUUAUAAAAGGUGGCUUUUAGCUACCACUUACAGAUGGACCCGCGGCGCAUUAGCUAGUUGGUGAGGUAACGGCUCACCAAGGCAACGAUGCGUAGCCGACCUGAGAGGGUGAUCGGCCACACUGGGACUGAGACACGGCCCAGACUCCUACGGGAGGCAGCAGUAGGGAAUCUUCCGCAAUGGACGAAAGUCUGACGGAGCAACGCCGCGUGAGUGAUGAAGGUUUUCGGAUCGUAAAACUCUGUUGUUAGGGAAGAACAAGUACCGUUCGAAUAGGGCGGUACCUUGACGGUACCUAACCAGAAAGCCACGGCUAACUACGUGCCAGCAGCCGCGGUAAUACGUAGGUGGCAAGCGUUGUCCGGAAUUAUUGGGCGUAAAGCGCGCGCAGGCGGUUUCUUAAGUCUGAUGUGAAAGCCCCCGGCUCAACCGGGGAGGGUCAUUGGAAACUGGGGAACUUGAGUGCAGAAGAGGAGAGU